UUAAAUGAAGCAGAAUAUGCAUUUAACUGUUAAUUAAAAGGAAGCUAAUUUAGCCAUUUAAA
rnacentral:tRNA from 1 species